rnacentral:rRNA from 1 species
UACAUGGGGUGCAAACGUUGCUCGGAAUUAUUGGGCGUAAAGCGCGCGUAGGCGGUUAUCUAAGUCGGAUGUGAAAGCCCCCGGCUUAACCGGGGAAUUGCGCCCUAAACUGGCGAGCUGGAGUGAGAUAGGGGUGUGUGGAACUUCCGGUGGAGCGGUGAAAUGUGUUGAUAUCGGAAGGAACGCCGGUGGCGAAAGCGACACACUGGGACUCAACUGACGCUGAGGCACGAAAGCCAGGGGAGCGAACGGG